UUAUUGAAACCAAACAGGGCCUUAGCUUAUUGUAGAACUUGCAAGCAGUAGUGAUUGCUUAGUUUAGUGUAGGACUUGCAAGCAUUAGUGGUUGCUUAGUUUAGUGUAGCACUUGCAAGUACUCCCUUUGUCCCAAAAUUAAUGUCGCAGCGCUUAUUUUGCAAUUCAGUCCUCAGACUUUUCCCGACUAAACCCGAAGUCCCUCUCUGUAGUCACUCUCUUCCUCCUUCAUGCCAUAUCGGCCGGCGCCGCUCCCCUUAGCGUAGCUCCAUGUCGACUGUGCCUUCUUUCCCUCACCCGCACCAGCGCCCUCUGCCUUGCGCUCGUCGCCGGCGCUCUCUUCCUCUCGCAUGUCCCUCCGUAUCAGUGAAAAUGUGAUUUUUUUUCCUGCCCGGCGCUCUGAUCUCCAGCGGGCGUGCUCGAUCUACGGAGGGUACUAACAAGAAGGUGCAACGAAGCUGAUUGUUUCGGUCGCCUGCCCAGGGCUGCUUCUGCCGGUCGUCAGGCGCAGGUCUCACUACGGCCACGCAGCAGCCGCGGCGGCAGGGGAGCGGCCAGCUCCGACAUGUUCAUCCGCCCGUUCUGAGACUCCAUCGCCAAGCACACCAACUUGAAGCAGAGACGAGGUGCGGGGAAGGAGCUGGCAGGGAACGAGUACAUCAGCAGCAGAGCCGGCGGGGAAGAAGAGAUGGGCCGAUGAUUGGAAUCACGCAGCAACAGACACGGGGCGCGAGGAAGGAUCUUUGCGGAAUCACGGAGGUGGGCGGCUGCGCACCUGAGCGACGGCUGGGCGCCGAAAUCGCGCAACUGCGCGCCGGCUGGUCCUGACGGACUGGGGACCAGCUCGCCUCCGUGGUCACGACGGUAGGGGCGGAAUCGGCGGGUAUCUGGUGGCGGGUGGGUGGUGGUAUGCGGGCUGUGAGCGCCGGAAUCACGAUCACGGCGGUGGAAUCCAACGACGCCGGACGAUGGCGACGCGCGGGUGACACACACAGGAAGUAGAAGGAGUCAGGGACCUGUUUGAUACUGUCUUAACAGUACGAGCGUUUUUUGCAAAAAGAACACUGUACUGCACGCGUGACAUGAAUUUUGGGACGGAGGGAGUAGUAGUUUAGUGUAGGACUUGCAAGAAGAGAGCUACCGUAGUAUAUUCCUCUUCUUCCCUCUUCUCUUUCUGUUAUCUUUCUCUUUUCUCUUCUCUUUCAAAGGAAACCAAAUGGCUCCAAACGAAUUUUUUCCUUAACUGAAUAUAACUGAAACUUGUCGAA